rnacentral:rRNA from 1 species
UAGUCCACGCCGUAAACGAUGGAUACUAGCUGUCGGGACCUCGGUCUCGGCGGCCAAGCGAAAGUGAUAAGUAUCCCACCUGGGGAGUACGUUCGCAAGAAUGAAACUCAAAGGAAUUGACGGGGGCCCGCACAAGCGGUGGAGCAUGUGGUUUAAUUCGAUGAUACGCGAGGAACCUUACCAGGGCUUAAAUGUAGGAUGCAUAGAGUAGAGAUAUUCUUUUCUUCGGACUUCUUACAAGGUGCUGCAUGGUUGUCGUCAGCUCGUGCCGUGAGGUGUCAGGUUAAGUCCUAUAACGAGCGCAACCCCUACCGUUAGUUGCCAGCAUGUAAAGAUGGGGACUCUAACGGGACUGCCGGUGCAAACCGUGAGGAAGGUGGGGACGACGUCAAAUCAUCACGGCCCUUACGUCCUGGGCCACACACGUGCUACAAUGGCCGGUACAGAGGGAAGCCACCACGCAAGUGGGCGCGGAUCUAUAAAACCGGUCACAGUUCGGAUCGGGGUCGAGUUGCAGA